rfam:Glossina morsitans morsitans, isolate Yale, WGS project CCAG01000000 data, contig: ctg10018417
UAUCGUAUAGUCUAGUGGUUAGGACGUCCGGCACUCAGCCGGAAGACUCGGGUUCGAGUCCUGGUGCGGUGG